rnacentral:lncRNA from 1 species
UGAAAUCAUCACCACAACCAAGCCAAGUGCAUCCAUCGCUCAGGCAGUCACCGUGGUGUGAGUGCGGUGAGAUGGCUUUGAUCUGGCUCUCAGCCACUUCUGACACUCCUGGUACCUGCAGUCACCACGCUGCACCCAGGCUUCUGUGUGUGUUCCUCCGACAGCUGCAACAGCCCAAAGGGAUGAGAAGAUGGAUACGGCCCGGAGAUAAUGCACACCUCUCGUGGGGACAGUGUCCCCAUCCCCCUCCGGCUGCACUGAAGACCUGGAGCAACGGCUGCCAUCCAUGUGCGAGGACCCCUCGGAGGUUCCUCCUGCACAGACCUUGCUAAGGGUGAGGUGUUUACUAGAAGGAGCACCUUUUCUAGUUAAAAUCUAACUAGAUUCUCCUUGGCAACUUGUCUUACAGAAACAGGUAUAGACUAUCACCUUGCCCAGCUGGGCGCAUCUUCGGAGGGAGGCCUGGGGCCACGUGCACCUAAUGAAGGUG